AUUGAACGCUAGCGGGAUGCUUUACACAUGCAAGUCGAACGGGUGGCGGACGGGUGAGUAAUAUAUCGGAACGUGCCCAGUAGCUGGGGAUACCUACUCGCAAGAGUGGCUAAUUACCGCUUCUAUUGGAGCGGCCUAUAACGGAUGAGCUAGUUGGUGGGGUAAAGGCUCACCAGGGCAACGAUCCGUAGCUGGUUUGAGAGAACGCCCAGCCACACUGGGACUGCGAUACGGCCCCGACGCCUACGGGAGGCAGCAGUGGGGAAUUUUGGACAAGGGGGGAAACCCUGAUCCAGCCAUCCGGCGUGUAUGAGAAGGCCUUCGGGUUGUAAAGUACUUUUGGCAGAGAAGCGGUAUCUGCAGAAUAAGCACCGGCUAACUACGUGCCAGCAGCCGCGGUAAUUC
rnacentral:rRNA from 1 species